rnacentral:piRNA from 1 species
UCUGAAAUGGAUGCUGGAUUGCAGAAAGGA